UAGGGAAUCUUCGGCAAUGGACGAAAGUCUGACCGAGCAACGCCGCGUGAGUGAAGAAGGUUUUCGGAUCGUAAAACUCUGUUGUUAGAGAAGAACAAGGACGUUAGUAACUGAACGUCCCCUGACGGUAUCUAACCAGAAAGCCACGGCUAACUACGUGCCAGCAGCCGCGGUAAUACGUAGGUGGCAAGCGUUGUCCGGAUUUAUUGGGCGUAAAGCGAGCGCAGGCGGUUUCUUAAGUCUGAUGUGAAAGCCCCCGGCUCAACCGGGGAAGGUCAUUGGAAACUGGGUGACUUGAGUGCAGAAGAGGAGAGUGGAAUUCCAUGUGUAGCGGUGAAAUGCGUAGAUAUAUGGAGGAACACCAGUGGCGAAGGCGGCUCUCUGGUCUGUAACUGACGCUGAGGCUCGAAAGCGUGGGGAGCAAACAGG
rnacentral:rRNA from 1 species